UUGCACGGUCGACGAUUCCUACGGGAGGCAGCAGUGGGGAAUAUUGCGCAAUGGGCGAAAGCCUGACGCAGCAACGCCGCGUGUGGGAUGACAGCUUUCGGGUUGUAAACCACUUUCAGUGACGACGAAAAUGACGGUAGUCACAGAAGAAGGUCCGGCCAACUACGUGCCAGCAGCCGCGGUAACACGUAGGGACCGAGCGUUGUCCGGAUUUAUUGGGCGUAAAGAGCUCGUAGGCGGUUCCGUAAGUCGGAUGUGAAAACUCGGGGCUCAACCCCGAGACGCCAUCUGAUACUGCGGUGACUGGAGUCCGGUAGGGGAGCAUGGAAUUCCUGGUGUAGCGGUGGAAUGCGCAGAUAUCAGGAGGAACACCAAUGGCGAAGGCAGUGCUCUGGGCCGGUACUGACGCUGAGGAGCGAAAGCAUGGGGAGCAAACAGGAUUAGAUACCCUGGUAGUCCAUGCCGUAAACGUUGGGCACUAGGUGUGGGGUCUUCUAACGGAUUCCGUGCCGUAGCUAACGCAUUAAGUGCCCCGCCUGGGGAGUACGGCCGCAAGGCUAAAACUCAAAUGAAUUGACGG
rnacentral:rRNA from 1 species